rnacentral:misc_RNA from 1 species
AAAAUGCGAUAAGUAAUGUGAAUUGCAGAAUUCAGUGAAUCAUCGAAUCUUUGAACGCACAUUGCGCCCGCCAGUAUUCUGGCGGGCAUGCCUGUCUGAGCGUCAUUUCAACCCUCAGGACCCGUUCGCGGGACCUGGCGUUGGGGAUCAGCCUGCCCCUGGCGGCGGCUGGCCCUGAAAUCCAGUGGCGGUUCCCUCGCGAACUCCUCCGUGCAGUAAUUAAACCUCUCGCGGCAGGAUAGCGGUUGAACCACGCCGUUAAACCCCCCACUUCUCAAGGUUGACCUCAGAUCAGGUAGGAACACCCGCUGAACUUAAGC